GAUGAAUUUUAAUUUCCAUGGUGCCUCAUCUUUGCUGAAUAUGAAACCUUCAAGCCUCUGAAGAGCUGAAUAAAUUAACCCACGUCUGUCCGGGCUUCAUCCGUGUCAUUAAGACCUGUGCCAAGGAAACAGAGAGGCUGGGAGAAUACAGGUC
rnacentral:lncRNA from 1 species